AAGAAAGUUACUAAGGGCGUAUGGGGAAUGCCUAGGCUCUCAAAGGCGAAGAAGGACGUGACAAGCUGCGAUAAGCUUCGGGGACCAGCACAUAUGGGUCGAUCCGAAGAUUUCCGAAUGGGGAAACCCACUAGUAUGAAGUACUAGUAUCCGAUAAGGAGGCGAACCUGCUGAACUGAAACAUCUAAGUAAGCAGAGGAAGAGAAAACAAUAGUGAUUUCCUAAGUAGUGGCGAGCGAACAGGAAAGAGCCCAAACCUAACUGGUUACGGCCAGUUAGGGGUUGUAGGACUGCAACAUCCGAUUAUAAUUGAAGAUAAACUACCUGGGAAGGUAGGCCAUAGAAGGUGAAAGCCCUGUCAUCGUAAGAUUAUAUGAGGUAGCAGUAUCCUGAGUAGGGCGGGACCAGAGAAAUCCCGUUUGAAUCUGCCGGUACCAUCCGGUAAGGCUAAAUACUCUUGAGAGACCGAUAGUGAACCAGUACCGUGAGGGAAAGGUGAAAAGUACCUUGAAUAAAGGGGUGAAAUAGAACCUGAAACCAUACGCUUACAAGCGGUCAGAGCCCAUUCGUUGGGUGAUGGCGUGCCUUUUGCAUAAUGAGCCUACGAGUUACUCCUCUCUGGCAAGGUUAAGAACUUUAAGGUUCGGAGCCGCAGCGAAAGCGAGUCUGAAUAGGGCGCAGAGUCAGAGGGGGUAGACGCGAAACUUUGUGAUCUACCCUUGACCAGGAUGAAGUUUGGGUAAAACCAAAUGGAGGUCCGAACCAGUAAACGUUGAAAAGUUUUUGGAUGAGUUGAGGGUAGGGGUGAAAGGCCAAUCAAACUGAGAAAUAGCUCGUACUCCCCGAAAUGUUUUUAGGAACAGCCUCGAGGUUGAGUCUUUUAGAGGUAGAGCUACCAAUUGGACUAGGGGGUGUCAAAACCUACCGAAUCCAGAUGAACUCCGAAUGCUAAAAGAUAUACUCGGGAGUGAGGCGCGGGGUGCUAAGGUCACGCGCCGAGAGGGAAAGAACCCAGACCAACAGCUAAGGUCCCAAAAUCUAUACUAAGUUGAACAAAGGUGGUCCAGUUGCUUAGACAGCCAGGAGGUUGGCUUGGAAGCAGCCAUUCCUUUAAAGAGUGCGUAACAGCUCACUGGUCGAGCGACAGGGCAUCGAUAAUAGACGGGCAUCAAGUAUAGUACCGAAGCUUUGGAUAGAAUUUAUUCUGUGGUAGGGGAGCAUUCUCUUCAGCAGUGAAGGCGUCUCGUCAGGGGCGUUGGAGCGGAGAGAAAAGCAAAUGUAGGCAUAAGUAACGAUAAUGAGGGUGAGAAACCCUCACACCGAAAGACUAAGGUUUCCUGAUCAACGUUAAUCGGAUCAGGGUUAGUCGGGACCUAAGGCGAAGCCGACAGGCGUAGUCGAUGGACAACUGGUUAAUAUUCCAGUACUUCUGUAAUAAAGUGAUGUGGUGACGGAGUAGUGAAAGAUCCGCGUUCUGACGGAAUAGAACGUUAAAGUGCGUAGGUAUUGGAGGGGUAGGCAAAUCCGCCUCUCUAGCUGAAACAUGAUAGUACUCCAAGGCUUCGGCCAAGGAGAUAGUGAUCCUAAUCAGACUUCCAAGAAAACCCGCUAAGCGUUUAUUAUUAUAGAACCCGUACCGUAAACCGACACAGGUAGUCGAGGAGAGAAUCCUAAGGUGCUCGAGUGAAUCACGGCCAAGGAACUCGGCAAAAUGGUCCUGUAACUUCGGGAGAAGGGACGCUUCCUCCAGCAAUGGAGAAGCCGCAGUGAAGAGGCCCAAGCGACUGUUUAACAAAAACACAUGGCUUUGCGAAAUUGAAAGAUGAAGUAUAAGGCCUGACACCUGCCCGGUGCUGGAAGGUUAAGAGGGGAUGUUAGCCGCAAGGCGAAGCAUUGAAUCGAAGCCCCAGUAAACGGCGGCCGUAACUAUAACGGUCCUAAGGUAGCGAAAUUCCUUGUCGGGUAAGUUCCGACCUGCACGAAUGG
rnacentral:rRNA from 1 species